rnacentral:rRNA from 1 species
UACGUAGGGUGCAAGCGUUGUCCGGAAUUAUUGGGUCGUAAAGAGCUCGUAGGCGGCUUGUCGCGUCGGAUCUGUGAAAACCUGGGGCUCAACCCCGGGCCUGCAGCCGAUACGGGGCAAGCUAGAAUUCGGUAGGGGAGACGUGGAAUUCCUGGUGUAGCGGUGAAAUGACGCAGAUAUCAGGAGGAACACCGGUGGCGAAGGCGGGUCUCUGGGCAACAACUGACGCUGAGGAGCGAAAGCCGUGGG